AGAGCAGUUUAAAGUUUCAAUACACCCCAUAUACAAUUAAAUGGCAAGGGGACCCUCAGAUGCAAAACUGUUAGUAGUUGAUGGUAAUAUGAACACAGGUCCAGUAAUUGUGUGAUUAAAAUUGGCAGCCUAAUUUGUCUUAUCAUUACCAAAAGAAAUCAUUGAAAAUCCUCAUAAUCACGAACAUGAAGGGUAGUUUCAGAAUGUAGCCAAAAUUAUUAUGGGUGCUAGAUAGCAUUUUGAAUUGUAAUUGUAUCAGCCCUUAUCAUUAAAAG
rnacentral:misc_RNA from 1 species